UACGUAGGGGGCAAGCGUUGUCCGGAAUCAUUGGGCGUAAAGAGCGCGUAGGCGGCCCGAUAAGUCCGCUGUGAAAGUCAAGGGCUCAACCCUUGAACGCCGAUGGAUACUGCCGGGCUAGAGUCCGGAAGAGGAGAGUGGAAUUCCUGGUGUAGCGGUGAAAUGCGCAGAUAUCAGGAAGAACACCAAUGGCGAAAGCAGCUCUCUGGGACGGUACUGACGCUGAGACGCGAAAGCGUGGGGAGCGAACAGG
rnacentral:rRNA from 1 species